UUAAAAUGUAAAUUAAAAUACUAAAUUAGUAUUAGUUAUGUUCUUCAAAAUUAAAGAUUUUGGCGGUAUUUUAGUCUAUUCAGAGGAACCUGUUCUAUAAUUGAUAGUCCACGAUUAACUUUACUUUAUUUAUAAAUUUGUAUAUCGUCGUUAGUUAAGAAUUUUAUAAGAAUAUAAAUUUUUAAGAUUUUAAAUUAAAAAAUAAUUCAGAUCAAGGUGCAGUUGAUAAUAAAGAAGAAAUGGGUUACAAUAAAUAUAUUUAAAUGGAUAAAAAAAGAAAAAAUUAUUGAAGGUGGAUUUGAUAGUAAUAAAAUUAAGUUUAAUUUUAUGAUUUUGGCUCUAAAAUAUGU
rnacentral:rRNA from 1 species